rnacentral:rRNA from 1 species
CUAGCCCUAAACGAUGUUGACUAGGCGUCGGUGGCUUAAUCGCCAUCGGUGUCCAAGCUAACGCGAUAAGUCAACCGCCUGGGGACUACGGCCGCAAGGUUAAAACUCAAAGGAAUUGACGGGUCCCCGCACAAGCAGCGGAGCGAGUGGUUUAAUUCGUUGCUACGCGAAGAACCUUACCUGGGUUUGACAUAGCAGUGGUAGGGAAGAGAAAUCGGACCGACCCUUCGGGGAGCUGUUACAGGUGU